AGGGUUUGAUUCUGGCUCAGGACGAACGCUGGCGGCGUGCUUAACACAUGCAAGUCGAACGGAGAGAGAUGGAAGCUUGCUUCUAUCGAUCUUAGUGGCGAACGGGUGAGUAACGCGUAACCAACCUGCCCUUCAGAGGGGGAUAACAACGGGAAACCGUUGCUAAUACCGCGUACGAAUGAACUUCGGCAUCGAAGCUCAUUGAAAGGUGGCCUCUAUUUAUAAGCUAUCGCUGAAGGAGGGGGUUGCGUCUGAUUAGCUAGUUGGAGGGGUAACGGCCCACCAAGGCAAUGAUCAGUAGCCGGUCUGAGAGGAUGAACGGCCACAUUGGGACUGAGACACGGCCCAA
rnacentral:rRNA from 1 species